rnacentral:rRNA from 1 species
AUUGAACGCUGGCGGCAUGCUUUACACAUGCAAGUCGAACGGUAACAGGCCGCAUGGUGCUGACGAGUGGCGAACGGGUGAGUAAUGCAUCGGAACGUGCCCAGUCGUGGGGGAUAACUACUCGAAAGAGUAGCUAAUACCGCAUACGCUCUUUGGACGUAAGCGGGGGUCUGUAAGGCCUCGCGCGAUUGGAGCGGCCGAUGUCAGCUUAGGUAGUUGGUGGGGUAAAGGCUCACCAAGCCAACGAUCUGUAGCUGGUCUGAGAGGGCGACAAGCCACACUGGGACUGAGACACGGCCCAGACUCCUACGGGAGGCAGCAGUGGAGAAUUUUGGACAAGGGGCGAAAGCCUGAGCCAGCAAUGCCGCGAGCAGAAAGAAGGCCUUCGGGUUGUAAACUGCUUUUGUACGGAACAAAACGGCUCUGGUUAAUACCCGAGGCUAAUGACGUACCGUAAGAAUAAGCACCGGCUAACUACGUG